GCGUGUUUUGGCCACAAGUUGGGCCCACUACGAGGCUUGCAGCAACGCGGAGUACGGGACGGCCGCUAAGGCCGUGAUCACCAAAUUUUGGCAACUCUAUAGAGUUCUUGAUGAGCACAAGGCCAGAGCCGACAUGGUCUUACUUGCGUCUGCAAAGAAGAAAGCUCGUCAGUUGCAGUACGAGGUGCGUUGGGUUGCCGUCUCACAGUACUACCACAUCUACCUGCAACAAAAGAUGACCAAAACUCAAGCACAGAGGCAAAAAAUUACCAUGAGCAGGGAGCAGUUCAUGAUGGUUGUUCCUCGUUGGUGCUAUGGAAGGCAUGAUGGAUGGGCGUGUUUGGUGGAUAGGUGGGUCGGUGACGAUCCAGAGUUUGUUGCCAAGAGCAUCAAGGCCCGGGCUAACCGUGGAAAAGACGGGACACACGGCCAAGGAAACAGGAACCACUGGGGCUUCAAGGCCAUGAACGUAUAUCUAUAUGAAAGAUGCAUUUUGGUUCUUCUUUACCGUCAUGUUCUUAUGUAUGGCUAACUUCUGUUUGACGUUGAAGGAGGACAAGUUGCAGAGGCCGCUCUCAGACAUGGAGUCGUGGAAGCUGGCCCGCGAGCGGAGUGAUCGCAAGGAGGGCGAGAGCCAGUACUACGGCAACACCGAGAAACACCUGCAGUCUUACACUCAGAACUAUCAGAAGUUGCAUCCGGAUGUUCCCGUUCCUGAGGUCGCCCAGUCUCAGAUCGACGACACGGCGGUGGUGGCCAUCCAGGGUAAGUCCCAUGGCCGGUAUCCGUGUUUCGAUGGCUUGGUCACUCCGUCGAUCUCGUACACACGGCUUCGAGCUACCAACCCGAGCCCGUUAGAGAGUACGGGGCGUUCGCAGCCUCCCUUAGUCCGCCAACGUGUUGCAUAUCAGACCUUUCUCGAGCAUAGGCAUAUUGAGGUGAGGGAGUACUUGCAACGAGUGAAGGCAAAUGAUGAUUACAGCCGUCAAGUGAUGGCGGCUAUGUUGGCGUCUUGGACUAACCGCACGGAGCCACCACAAGUUGGACCCCCACCACCACCUGCGGGAGACGCCCCACACAUUCCCACGUUCGAGGAAUGGCUGGCACUAGGCCGUGAUACUCCGG